GGGGAAUUUUGGACAAUGGGCGCAAGCCUGAUCCAGCCAUGCCGCGUGAGUGAAGAAGGCCUUCGGGUUGUAAAGCUCUUUCGGCGGGGAAGAAAUUGCACUCUCUAAUACAGGGUGUAGAUGACGGUACCCGCAUAAGAAGCACCGGCUAACUACGUGCCAGCAGCCGCGGUAAUACGUAGGGUGCGAGCGUUAAUCGGAAUUACUGGGCGUAACGCGUGCGCAGGUGGUGGUGUAAGUCAGAUGUGAAAUCCCCGGGCUCAACCUGGGAACUGCAUUUGAGACUGCACGGCUAGAGGAUGGCAGAGGGGGGUAGAAUUCCACGUGUAGCAGUGAAAUGCGUAGAGAUGUGGAGGAAUACCGAUGGCGAAGGCAGCCCCCUGGGCUAUUUCUGACACUCAUGCACGAAAGCGUGGGGAGCAAAC
rnacentral:rRNA from 1 species